AGUUUUGUUUUAAUUAAAUAAAAUCAAAACUCUUCCCAUCUUCCUCAUCACCAAACCUUAUCCUGUAAGUCCUAGGGCUCUUCGCACGUCGUCGACAUCAGAGAUGGAGACCCAGGAUCAGCCACGCAUUUUAAUUUCCAGUGAGUGACUUGGUGUUUCCCCCGUUUUGGCCGGAGAAAAGGCAGACAACAACUCACACGAUGCAUGAAUACAUUAUGGUUGCGAAUAUUGGGUGUGUGAAGGGAAAAGACAACGAGCAAACAAGAAGUUUGUUUCAAACAUCCGGAGGUCAAUGUUGGGUUUUAUAGUCAUCUGCCUAGAUUGGUCACGUUGUGUUGCAGUUGGUGAUCAUACAUGGAACACAUACUCACUGAUCUUGCUUUGGGGAAAUAAAGCAAAAUGAUCAACACAGAAAAAAUAGACAAGGUAAUGGGAAGAAUAACACUAUCCCUUUCUAUCCUAUUAUAAUGAAAUUUCUAAGUACAUUCGACUGUUAAGCAAAUGCUUUCAUCCAGAGUGAUCAUCACCGAGAAUCAGAUUGUGUCUAGUAGAUACGCAGAUACCCUCUACCCUUUGAUUAUCCUCUAGCAACUUAAAUUUUCGUGAAUUGUUUCUACUUUUCUAUUUUAAAGUCGACUACGUAAGAAAUGCAGCCUGGGUUUAGGGUGUAUUCCGCAUCCAAUGUACUCUAGAAUAGUCUUGAAUACA